rnacentral:rRNA from 1 species
GUAAGGAAUCUUCCGCAAUGGGGGCAACCCUGACGGAGCGACGCCGCGUGGAUGAAGAAGCCUUUCGGGGUGUAAAAUCCUUUUGUGGGGGAUGAGAUGGACAGUACCCCACGAAGAAGCCUCGGCUAACUACGUGCCAGCAGCCGCGGUAAUACGUAGGAGGCGAGCGUUGUCCGGAAUUACUGGGUGUAAAGAGCGCGUAGGUGGGAGGCCAAGUCUGUGGUGAAAGCGCCCGGCUCAACUGGGCAUGGUCCAUGGAAACUGGUCACCUGGAGGACGGUAGAGGCGAGUGGAAUUCCCGGUGUAGUGGUGAAAUGCGUAGAGAUCGGGAGGAACACCAGUGGCGAAGGCGGCUCGCUGGGCCGGUCCUGACACUGAGGCGCGAAGGCGUGGGGAGCGAACGGGAUUAGAAACCCGGGUAGUCC